AACGGCCGCGGUAUCUUGACCGUGCAAAGGUAGCGCAAUCAAUUGCCUUUUAAAUGAAGGCCUGUAUGAAUGGCACAACGAAGGCUUAACUGUCUCCUUUUUCCAGUCAAUGAAAUUGAUCUUCCCGUGCAGAAGCGGGAAUUUAGACAUAAGACGAGAAGACCCUAUGGAGCUUAUAAACGCAAGAACAGAUCACGUCAAUUAUUCUAAUUUACUAGAUAAAUAAACCAACUGAUAUCCUGUUCUAAUGUUUUUGGUUGGGGCGACCACGGAGUAAAAUUUAACCUCCAUGCAGAACGAAAAUACUUAUUUUUCAACUCAAGGGUGACAACCCUAAAAAUCAGAACUUCUGACUUUCAUUGAUCCGGCCUAUAUAGCCGAUCUACGAACCGAGUUACCCUAGGGAUAACAGCGCAAUUCUCUUUUAGAGUCCCUAUCGACAAGAGAGUUUACGACCUCGAUGUUGGAUCAGGACAUCCUAUU
rnacentral:rRNA from 1 species